CCCUUAGAUGUUCUGGGCCGCACGCGCGCUACACUGAUUCAUGCAACAAGUUUUGUCCUUGGCUGAUAGGCCUGGGUAAUCUUUGAACGUGAAUCGUGAUGGGGAUAGAUGAUUGCAAUUAUUCAUCUUCAACGAGGAAUUCCUAGUAAACGCAAGUCAUCAGCUUGCAUUGAUUACGUCCCUGCCCUUUGUACACACCGCCCGUCGCACCUACCGAUUGAAUGGUCCGGUGAAAUCUUCGGAUCUGAGAGAUGUCUGAUUAAUUUCGGACGCCUUUUGGAAAAGUUGCUUAAACCUCACCAUUUAGAGGAAGGUGAAGUCGUAACA
rnacentral:rRNA from 1 species